AUUGAACGCUGGCGGCAAGCCUAACACAUGCAAGUCGAGCGGGGUUUUCGGACCUAGCGGCGGACGGGUGAGUAAUGCGUAGGAAGCUGCCCGAUAGAGGGGGAUACCAGUUGGAAACGACUGUUAAUACCGCAUAAUGUCUACGGACCAAAGUGUGGGACCUUCGGGCCACAUGCUAUCGGAUGCGCCUACGUGGGAUUAGCUAGUUGGUGAGGUAAUGGCUCACCAAGGCGACGAUCUCUAGCUGGUUUGAGAGGAUGAUCAGCCACACUGGAACUGAGACACGGUCCAGACUCCUACGGGAGGCAGCAGUGGGGAAUAUUGGACAAUGGGCGUAAGCCUGAUCCAGCCAUGCCGCGUGUGUGAAGAAGGCCUUCGGGUUGUAAAGCACUUUCAGCGAGGAGGAAGGGUGGUGUGUUAAUAGCACAUCAUUUUGACGUUACUCGCAGAAGAAGCACCGGCUAACUCUGUGCCAGCCGCCGCGGUAA
rnacentral:rRNA from 1 species